rnacentral:rRNA from 1 species
GACGAACGCUGGCGGCGUGCUUAACACAUGCAAGUCGAACGGUGAAGGAAGAGCUUGCUCUUCCGGAUCAGUGGCGAACGGGUGAGUAACACGUGGGCAACCUGCCCUGACUCUGGGAUAACUCCUCGAAAGAGGUGCUAAUACCGGAUACGACCACUUCGGACAUCCGAUGGUGGUGGAAAGUUUUUCGGUCAGGGAUGGGCCCGCGGCCUAUCAGCUAGUUGGUGGGGUAAUGGCCUACCAAGGCGACGACGGGUAGCCGGCCUGAGAGGGCGACCGGCCACACUGGGGCUGAGACACGGCCCAGACUCCUACGGGAGGCAGCAGUGGGGAAUAUUGCGCAAUGGGCGAAAGCCUGACGCAGCGACGCCGCGUGAGGGAUGAAGGCCUUCGGGUUG